rnacentral:rRNA from 1 species
GGAACGGAGGGGGCUAGCGUUGGUUCGGAAUUAAGCUGGGCGUAAAGCGCACGUAGGCGGCCCUUCAAGUCAGAUUAGGUGAAAGCCCCGGCCUUAACCCGGGAAUUGGCAUUUGAUACUGUUGGGCUUGAGACCGGGAGAGGACUAGCGGAAUUCCCAGUGUAGAGGUGAAAUUCGUAGAUAUUGGGAAGAACACCGUGGCGAGGAG